GCCGCUGUAGCUCAGUUGGUAGAGCGCCCGCCUUGUAAGCGGAAGGUCAGGGGUUCGAGUCCCCUCAGCGGCUCCA
rnacentral:tRNA from 1 species